UACGGAGGGAGCUAGCGUUGUUCGGAAUUACUGGGCGUAAAGCGCACGUAGGCGGUGUGUCGCGUCGGCCGUGAAAACCUGCAGCUUAACUGUGGGCUUGCGGUCGAUACGGGCAUCACUGGAGUUCGGCAGGGGAGACUGGAAUUCCUGGUGUAGCGGUGAAAUGCGCAGAUAUCAGGAGGAACACCGGUGGCGAAGGCGGGUCUCUGGGCAGUAACUGACGCUGAGGAGCGAAAGCGUGGGGAGCGAACAGG
rnacentral:rRNA from 1 species